rnacentral:ncRNA from 2 species
AACGUGCUCCGGGGUCGGUGUAAGUCCGAACCGGCGGUGAAAGUCCGCGACCCGUUCGUUCUUCACGAAUGAACGGUUGAGCUGGUGAAAUUCCAGCACCGACGGUUAAAGUCCGGAUGAGAGGCGCACGAA